UCCGGUGACCAUACUGGAGAGGAUACACCCGUUCCCAUCCCGAACACGGAAGUUAAGCUCUUCGAGGCCGAUGGUACUUGGGCUUUUGCCCUGGGAGAGUAGGUCGUUGCCGGAA
rnacentral:rRNA from 3 species